UACGUAGGGCGCAAGCGUUGUCCGGAAUUAUUGGGCGUAAAGAGCUCGUAGGCGGCUUGUCACGUCGGGUGUGAAAGCCCGGGCUUAACCCCGGGUCUGCAUUCGAUACGGGCUGGCUAGAGUGUGGUAGGGAGGAUCGGAAUUCCUGGUGUAGCGGUGAAAUGCGCAGAUAUCAGGAGGAACACCAAUGGCGAAGGCAGCUCGCUGGGACGUGACUGACGCUGAGACGCGAAGCGUGGGGAGCGAACAGG
rnacentral:rRNA from 1 species